rnacentral:rRNA from 1 species
CACGUGGGAACGUACCCUUCGGUUCGGAAUAGCUCCGGGAAACUGGAAUUAAUACCGGAUACGCCCUUACGGGGAAAGAUUUAUCGCCGAAGGAUCGGCCCGCGUCUGAUUAGCUAGUUGGUGGGGUAAUGGCCCACCAAGGCUACGAUCAGUAGCUGGUCUGAGAGGAUGAUCAGCCACAUUGGGACUGAGACACGGCCCAAACUCCUACGGGAGGCAGCAGUGGGGAAUAUUGGACAAUGGGCGCAAGCCUGAUCCAGCCAUGCCGCGUGAGUGAUGAAGGCCUUAGGGUUGUAAAGC